AUGUGGGUGCUGGGAAUCGAACUCAGGACCUCUGGAAGAGCAGGCAAGUUCUCUUAAACACGGAGCCACCUCUCCGGUCCCGCAGAUGUACCUCUUGACCUUGGCAGCUUGGCAGGAUCUUUUAGGAUAGCCUAAGCAAGAGUGGUUUGAGUGGUACCUGUGAGAAGUGAGUCCACCGUUCUGGAUGGCAAGUAAGGGAAGAAUAGAUGAGAUUUUCUACCUCAGCUUGCAUGGAAAGAGAAAGAAUGUCUGGUGAGGAGAGAAGUCACCCUCCGAAGGUCCUGGUUAGCAAACUGAUUAGAAAGAACUUUCCAAUCCCCGAUGAACCUCCAGAUGACGGUAGCCGCUGGUGAAUACUGGCAAGGGGCCGGUCACUGUCUUCGGUUAGGUGUGUACAGUCACAGACAGUAAAUCACAAAGGUGCCCAGAAUUAGGCUGAAAGGGGUCACAAAGCUAAGCAAAAAAUACAUGAAUGUGGGAAACAUCACAGGUAAACAGAUAAGAGAGGGUGGGGGUGAGGGCAACCAGAGUGCUCUGAACGAAUGUGUGAAACUGUCAAAGAGGACACUUAAUUGGACCUGAGUCCAAUCAGACCUUUGCAUUUAUGAAAGGUCUAUUCUACAGAAAAGACAAGUCUACUGCAAUGUGCAAUCGAGACUUAGCCUGAUCCAGUCUGUAGACAGUUUGGCUAUUAAGAAUAGGAACGGGGGUUGGGGAUUUAGCUCAGUGGUAGAGCGCUUGCCUAGGAAGUGCAAGGCCCUGGGUUCGGUCCCCAGCUCCGAAAAAAAGAACCAAAAAAAAAAAAAAAAAAAGAAUAGGAACGGUCACGGUCCAUACUUUAGGAUAUAUGGGGCAGUGAGUAAGAAUAUGUGAGAGUGCCUACCACAGAGUGAGGGGUGGUGGUUAGCCAGAAAAUGGGAAGCUGGUGGCUGCAUACCAGAACACCUUGGGGCUUCUAGGAGGCUGGCUUAGUACCGGCCCCUUAGUCAAUGUGUUGGGUUGAGAUCAAUCCACUUCCAUUUCUUAUGCUGUGAAGCUCCUGGGGCAUGAUGAUGGCUCAGUUGCCAAAAUACUUACCUGGCAAGAAUGAGGUCCUGAGUUCAAUCCCCAGAACCCACAAUUAAACAGUCAGGCAUCGUAGUGAGCAUUAGUGACCCGGCCACCAGGGAAAUGGACACUGCUGAGUGCCUGUGGCCCCUUAGCUACCCAGCCCAGGCUGAUUAUUGAGUUUCAGGCCAAUGAAAGACCCUGCCUUACAACAGGGAAGUGAAGGGCACUUGAGAGAAGACGCCUGUGGUCCUUGUCAUCAUCCUACACAGGCAAGUGUGCACACAAACACUUCUGUGUUCCUGUUUCCAAACUGGUGAGUGUUCCUCUCCCACUCCCUCUCCUCCCCCUCUCCCUCCCUCCCCUUCCCCUCCCCCUUUCCCUCUUCCUUCCCCUUCCUUUCCCUCUCUCCCUCCCCAAAGUUCUUGCUCUGCACUCAUCAGAUGGGAGGACUCACCUCUCAUGCUAUGUGUCAGUAGACACACACACACACACACACACACACACACACACACACACUUUUCUGUGGGUGUGUGAAGGGCUUUUAUUUCUGGUCAGAGCGAACAUUGGUCAGGAGUUUCUGUGUUGAAAGUCACCAGCCUGAACACCUUCGCAGAGGGGAUAUAUCCAUUCCUGUGUCAACUUGCUUUUCCACGAGCUCCUGGGUAUUGGUUGCUAGGAGGAGGCCAAGACAAGGCGUGGGCCUCUGUGUAGUCAGAGGGGAAUUCCUGGGGGAAGCCAAAGGGACAGGAGGGGAUAGGGAUGUACCAGCAGUAAACCUGGUGCUUAUAUGGUCUUCCAGGAGAAAAGCAAGCUUCCAUAAGAAACAGACUCUCUGGCCUCAGGACUGAAGAAGCAGCAGGAGGUGUGCAUGCCAAGACUCCUUUGCUUGCAAAACAUGCAGGAUUAUAGAGAGCAGUUUUGACAUCACGGAACACUGAAAUUUAUAAAUGAGGUGAUUUGGUUGCCUGACAUCUACUGGAGACUAACCAUGUGUCCCAGAAAGACGAUGAACUUGAGGGAGGAGGAGUUGAGAUGGCAAGAGGGUGAAAGGCAGCUCCUGACCGAAGGGAAGCCUUCCGUGGCCCACUGCUCUGAAGUCCUCCCGGCCAGCUUGCUUGAGUUCCUGUUGACUUUGGGCAGUAACACUGAUAUUCCGGCCUCUCGACAGUGUAACUUGAGAAAUGCUGCUGAGCAGGGUGAGGAAGCCCAUGGAGCCUGUCUGGAGUGCCUCCAGUCCCCAUGUUCCCUUGGGCUGCAGCGGAAAUAUUCUAGGCAUGAGGUACCUGUGGACUCGAAUUCCACACUAGUGACAGUGAGCGACACAUAUGGAGCUGGGGGAAGAUAUCUCAGCAAUCAAGCAGUUGACGCCUCUGUAGUUCUCAGGACCUAAGUCCGGUGAACCACAACUCAGUUGUGGGGGAACCCAACUCUUCCUGUAGGCACCUGAACUCACGCCUGUGUGACUGCACACGUGCACAGCACCAAAGAAAAUGUUCCUUCUUCGUGGUCAUGAGACUAAGUAUUUGGAAUCAUAACAUUUAUGAUGUAGCACUGAACCAUGAUUUUGCGACACCUAGAGCAGCCAUGUGGGUCAACCCUCAGCAGACUAUGGCUUGAAGGAGUUGUCAGUCAUAACUGUCUACAGGCAACCAUGCAUGAGGCAUCUCUCUAUCAUGGGACACUGCUGCAUUGAUCUCCCACCAGAAAACUAAGAGAAACCACCAGCGGCUAAUGGCACUCCAGAGAUAGUUUAAGUUGCUUCUGCAAGACAUCUUGUCAUGUGGUGAUCUACUCAUCUAAGAGGAUGAGGAACUUUUGGAGCGCCGUGGUGACCUUGAAGGUGACAAUGACACCAUCCAUUCCUAGAACAUUGUGACAGCUGCCACCUGAACGGGUAAAAGUGGUACAUGGGGAUCUACCCCCCCCAGAUGGCAGGACGCUCACAGAAGGGUCAGAUGGUGCAGGUAAACACUCCCACUCAUGAGUAUUUUUCUAUUAAGGGAGGUUGCUCUAUGCCUAGCUAGGUUUGCCCCAUGUUGCUCUUUGCUUUCUGCUUGGGAGUAGCUUUCCCCUGUGCUUUCCUCUCCUUCGUAGUCACCCUCUUCUGAUAUGCUCAUUAGUAAACCCAGAGCUGCUUUUACUAGUACAGAAUAGCACUAGCCUGCAGCAACACAUCUCAGGGUAGAGAGUUCGGCUCUCUUGUCACAUCUCUGUAUUCAGACUCUUACAGACAUGACCGGCAACAACACCUUGGUAACCUUAUUCACCUGUCCACCUGUUCCGAUUGUAAUCUACCAGAGAGCAGAAGCCUGCAGGGGCCUUUGUCUUGUGUGUUUCUGCGGUCGCAUCCUGCUUCCUUAGGAGAGGAGCGGGGAAGAUACUGUUUCAAUUCAGGAGAACUAAGUGGUAAACUUUUUCUGUCUGUGACGAUACUGUUUCAAUUCAGGAGAGCUAAGUGGUAAAACUUUUUCUGUCUAUUUUUGUUUCAUUUCAAGUUGGGGUUUUCCUCCAAUGCUCUGUCCCUCCUGUCCUGUUUUAGACAAGCUGAUCUCAGAAACUGGGUAAUUGCACACAGUCAGCACAACCCGGCAAAGAUGUAUUGUCCACCAAACCUGCCAGUUGUAAUCAUUAAAAUCACGGCAGACUUCAUAAAAGGCUAUGUAGCUACUCCUGAUGUUGAACCAAUUUCUUUCUCUGUUGCUGUGAUAAUAAAAUACUUCGACAAAAGUGA
rnacentral:sRNA from 1 species